GAUGAACGCUGGCGGCGUGCCUAAUACAUGCAAGUCGAGCGAACGGACGAGAAGCUUGCUUCUCUGAUGUUAGCGACGGACGGGUGAGUAACACGUGGAUGACCUACCUAUAAGACUGGGAUAACUUCGGGAAACCGGAGCUAAUACCGGAUGAUAUUUUGAACCGCAUGGUUCAAAAGAGAAAGACGGUCUUGCUGUCACGUAUAGAUGGAUCCGCGCUGCAUUAGCUAGUUGGUAAGGUAACGGCUUACCAAGGCAACGAUGCAUAGCCGACCUGAGAGGGUGAUCGGCCACACUGGAACUGAGACACGGUCCAGACUCCUACGGGAGGCAGCAGUAGGGAAUCUUCCGCAAUGGGCGAAAGCCUGACGGAGCAACGCCGCGUGAGUGAUGAAGGUCUUCGGAUCGUAAAACUCUGUUAUUAGGGAAGAACAUAUGUGUAAGUAACUGUGCACAUCUUGACGGUACCUAAUCAGAAAGCCACGGCUAACUACGUG
rnacentral:rRNA from 1 species